UUAUAGGUGCCCAAGAAAUGCAACAAUGCUGCCUGUCUGUUUGGGAAGACUCUGGCCAUUGCAACAACAGCCAGGCAGGAAGCUGAAGAGCCAGGUGGCAACAUGAAGUGAGGGUUCAAAAAGUGCCCAUGGAGGCAGGGAGGAGCACACGUCUUCAGCAGAUGUUUUAGAGGGAGAGGUAGAACACAUGCAAUAGCAUCCUCUUUGCAAAGGCUGCCUAUUAGUACCACCCAGAAUGCAGUUUACGAAGUGCUGUGCAGGAUUGCAGUUCUGAUCAUUGCACACUCCUAUGUUACCCCAUAUAUCCCAAAUCCAGACCAUGAAAAGCACGUGUCCUCCACAAAGGCAUCGUUGGGCACAUGGGACAGGGUAGGAGGGUGGAUCUGGGCCCCCAAAGCCCCUGUGCUCUGUCGCAGUGGAACUUCCCCCUGCUGAUGCUGGUGUGGAAGCUGGCACCCGCCCUCUGCUGUGGGAACACCAUGGUCCUGAAGCCUGCGGAGCAGACACCUCUCACCGCCCUUUAUCUCGGCUCUCUGAUCAAAGAGGCCGGGUUCCCUCCAGGAGUGGUGAACAUCGUGCCAGGAUUCGGGCCCACAGUGGGAGCAGCAAUUUCUUCUCACCCUCAGAUCAACAAGAUCGCCUUCACCGGCUCCACAGAGGUA
rnacentral:lncRNA from 1 species